rnacentral:rRNA from 1 species
ACACGCAUGACACACUGCAUAUCAAUAAGCGGAGGAAAAGAAACUAACUAGGAUUCCCUUAGUAACGGCGAGUGAAGCGGGAAGAGCUCAAAUUUGAAAUCUUCAAGGUUCUACCUUGACGAAUUGUAGUUUAAAGAAGUGUUUUCUGUUGGAGUUUUGGUAAAAGUUCUUUGGAAUAGGACAUCAUAGAGGGUGAGAAUCCCGUAUUUGACCAUUAUUUCCAACUGUGUGAUACACUUUCAAAGAGUCGGAUUGUUUGGGAAUGCAGUCCAAAAUGGGUGGUAAAUUUCAUCUAAAGCUAAAUAUUGGCGAGAGACCGAUAGCGAACAAGUACCGUGAGGGAAAGAUGAAAAGAACUUUGAAAAGAGAGUUAAACAGUACGUGAAAUUGUCAAAAGGGAAGCGUUUGACACCAGUGUUGUUUUUCCGAAAAUCAAUUACGAAUGUUUUGUUUUUAAGAAGUUAUGACUUCAUCGGCUUGCUCCUUUCUUUACGAAACUUUCUUAAUGCACUUUUCGGUUAACAAGUCAACAUCAAUUUCUUUUGUUGUAAAAGGGUAUGAGGAAGGUGGCUUUCUUUUCGGAGAAAGUGUUUAUAGCCUUGUACCUCUGCAAUCGGAGAGAUUGAGGUCUGCAGCGUAGAUCCUUCGGGGUUAGAUACAUUUGUGCUAAGUUAUAGCUUUUCAUAGACAACUUGUUGACUAUGUUUAGUCUUGUAGCUUACUCGCUUAUGCUAUUUUACCUACGCUUAGGAUGUUGACUGAUAUGUAGUCGUA